AGCAAACCUUGCACGCCAAGAUUCAGAUAAUUCUGAAGAUAUGGUGGUUAUGACUGAAAUUACAGAUGACCAUGUCGACUCCAAAAUCUAGUUCCUCGACACAGGCUACUAGAAGGUACUAAUAACAUAGUUAUUUAAAGGAGAAAUAGAGCUAUAACUAUGAUCAAAUAUGUACUCUUUGUACCUAGAAUGAAGUGCAACAUGCUAAGUGUUAGAUAAUGGUCG
rnacentral:lncRNA from 1 species